GACGAACGCUGGCGGCAUGCCUAACACAUGCAAGUCGAACGAGAUCUUCGGGUCUAGUGGCGCACGGGUGCGUAACGCGUGGGAAUCUGCCCUUUGGUUCGGAAUAACAGUUGGAAACGACUGCUAAUACCGGAUGAUGACGAAAGUCCAAAGAUUUAUCGCCAGAGGAUGAGCCCACGUAGGAUUAGCUAGUUGGUGUGGUAAAGGCGCACCAAGGCGACGAUCCUUAGCUGGUCUGAGAGGAUGAUCAGCCACACUGGGACUGAGACACGGCCCAGACUCCUACGGGAGGCAGCAGUGGGGAAUAUUGGACAAUGGGCGAAAGCCUGAUCCAGCAAUGCCGCGUGAGUGAUGAAGGCCUUAGGGUUGUAAAGCUCUUUUACCCGGGAUGAUAAUGACAGUACCGGGAGAAUAAGCUCCGGCUAACUCCGUGCCAGCCGCCGCAGUAA
rnacentral:rRNA from 1 species